rnacentral:rRNA from 1 species
GGUUUGAUCAUGGCUCAAAUGAACGCUUUCGGCGGGAUGUUUUACACAUGCAAGUCGAACGGCAGCACGGACUUCGGUCUGGUGGCGAGUGGCGAACGGGUGAGUAAUGUAUCGGAACGUGCCUAGUAGUGGGGAUAAAUUACGCGAAAGCGUAGUUGCAAUACCGCAUACGCCCUUCGGGGGAAAGCGGGGACCCGGCCUCGCACUAUUAGAGCGGGCCGGGAUAUCGGAUUACAGCUGGGGCUGCGGGCAACGGUCACCAGCGGCGACGAUCCGUAGCUGGUUUGAGAGGACGACCCAGCCACACUGGACCGAGACACGGCCUCCAGACUCCUACGGGAGGCAGCAGUGGGGAAUUUUGGACAAUGGGGGAAACCUGAUCCAGCCAUCCGUGUGCGAUGAAGGCCUUCUGGUUGUAAAGCACUUUUGAGGAAAGAAAACGGCACGGGAUAAUACCCUCGUGCAACUGACGGUACCUGCAGAAUAAGCACCGGCGACCUACGUGCCAGCAGCCGCGGUAAUACGGUGGUGCAAGCGUUAAUCGGAAUUACUGGGCGUAAAGCGCGCAGGCGGUUCGGAAAGAAAGAUGUGAAAUCCCAGAGCUUAACUUCUAACCGCAUUUUUAACUACUGAGCUAGAGUGUGUCAGAGGGAGAAUUCCGCGUGGCAGGAAAUGCGGCAGAUAUGCGGAGGAACACCGAUGGUGCGAAGGCAGCCUCCCGGGAUAACCACCGACGCUCAUGCACGAAAGCGUGGGGAGCAAACAGAUUAGAUACCCUGGUAGUCCACGCCUGAAACGAUGUCAAUUAGCUGUUGGGGCUUCGGCUCGGUAGCGCAGCUAUAACGCGGGUUGGGACUGCCUGGGGGAGUACGGCUGGCCGCAAGAUUAAAACCAAAGUGAUAAUUGAUUAGACUGCACAAGCGGUGGAUGAUGUGGAUGACCCUGAUGCAACGCGAAAACCUUACCUACUCCGAUACGGCCCGGAAUCCCGAAGAGAUUUGGGAGUGUGCUCGCAAGAGAACCGGAACACAGGUGCUGGUAUGGCUGUCGCCUGCUCUGUGUCGUGAGAUGUUGGGUUAAGUCCUGCAAACGAUAACCUUGUCACGAAGUUGCUGCGAAAGGCACUCUAAUGACUGCCGGUGACAAACCGAGGAAGGUGGGGAUGACGUCAAGUUCCUACGGCCCUUAUGGUAGGGCUUCACACGUCAUACAAUGGUCGGGACAGAGGGUCGCCAACUCGCGAGGGGGGAGCCAAUCCCAGAAACCCGAUCGUAGUCCGGAUCGCAGUCUGCAACCCGACUGCGUGAAGUCGGAAUCGCUAGUAAUCGCGGAUCAGCAUGUCGCGGUGAAUACGUUCCCGCCCUGUACACACCGCCUGUCACACCAUGGGAGGCUUUACCAGAAGUAGUUAGUCAACCGUAAGGGGAGUGGCGAUUACCACGGCAGGAUUCAUGAUCAGUGGUUGCAACAAGGUAG